UAUCUAAUAUUGUUCAAUCGCAUUUGGAGGAUAAGUCCCAUAUCAGUGUGGGUAUAUAAGUUAAUAUAAAUUAAAUGUGGACACCUCCUUUAUGCGGGCCGUUAUUUGGCCAUUACCAAUCGUAGGUACCUUGCUUGGGCUAUAUGGAUAUUUGUUUUCAAAAUGAACUUGAAUUACACUAUAUCAAUUAUAUG